GCGAGCCGCAGUCACCUUCACUGGCUCCAGCUCGAGCAGUGCUGCCAUCCUUGGGCUCAAAGCUUUUGCCCGAGCAGCAGAGGUAUGUAUAGGAAGGCGGCGAAAGCCACGAACUACUGCAAACAUCAACAAGUCAAGGUAGGACGAAGAAGAGAAGGAAAGCCACUAUGAAUCUUAAGGCCACACGGCCCUGGGCUCAAGAACACUUACGUCACUAGAGGGCUGGCAGCGCUAAAAGGCUCCAUUACGACAGUGAGCGGAAUUUUGUUUGACCCUAGAUCUCUUAGGGUGUCGAUGCGGGCUCGCAGCUCGUCAUUGCUGAGCUCUUGUGUCGUUGCUUGAGUCGGAUCUUAAGGUCCCAUGUAAAGAUACAUGGGGUGAGCCCGAGUGGCUGGACUCACGGCUCGAGUCACGUCUUCAAGACUUGCUCCCCGGUCAGCCAGCGGUCGAUCAGGCUCUCCACCGCGUCUAUCAGCCCCCGGGCGUUGCUGGAUGUCUUCUUCAUCGGCUUCCAAGAUCUCUCAGACGCUUGGGUAGCUCAUUGAUGAAGGGCGGCAGAUCUCCCACGAGCCCCGAAGCAUAGAACCAACCCUUAUGCCAGUUGCAGACUGACUUCGCCAAAGCAAUCUUGAAGCAGUCCGAUUCAAGCUGGAGCUGGAGGUUGGCGCCUUCAAGGUCGCGGAUAUCAUCACCAUUCUUCUGGACCUUCACCAGGAAGUAGUAUCAAAACAACUCGAAGUUCGGGUUCGUCCCAAGGAAGCAUUCGCAAAGGGUGAUGAAGUUGGCGAUGUGGAGAAUGGCGUUGGGUGUCAAAUGAUGCAAUUGACACCUGUAGGAGAGCAAAAGUCCACACACAAAGCUGUCCAGCAGGAAAGCCAAACCUCGACAAAAGAACUGUUGGUGCAACACUCGCUUGUACCGGCUGGUGCCAGGAUGGCCACGACCCCCGCCAUCCUCCAUUGAAGUACCUCCCAAGGCAGCAGAAAGUCGUCUUGAACCAACACAGUGGAGAACCACUUGCCUGUGGUCUCGCCUGCCUCCUCGUUGGCGGAAGCGUUGUCCUUCCGCUCGUCAGCGGUGGUGGCCUUGGGAACGGUCCGGCCACGACCUCGACCGCGGUCUCCCUCGCCUCGCACCAUCAGCGUCUCGCUUGGGUGGAGAAUGAAAGAAAGGGAGGGCUCGAGGAGCAAGAGCUUGCGACAAUGGCAGUUCCGACAGGGGAGGGAGAAGUAGUAGCGGGAUCUGCGAGAGGAACAGAGGAAGUGGGGAAUGUCUCUCUCCCCCUUCUUUAUAUCCCACCGGGAAACCCAAGCAACGGCUUCGGUAGGUCGACAUGUGCCCCAUUUCCUUCGCGGUUUCCCACUACGCAGGAUGUGGGCGCGGAGAUCCAGGCAUUAUCAUCAUGAUGCAGCGGUCAAAGCGAAACCGACUGACCAUCUCCCUAUCUUUUGACAGUUAUGACGGGAUGUGACAAAGCGAGUGGCAGCGACGCCUAGGUUCCUAUGGCUAGCAAUAAAUGAUUUGAAGAAGACUUGCCACCGGAAGCCGUUCAGCCAUGAAGCUGCGAAGAUGCGACGCCGGAGGCCAUGCAGCCGUGAAGCCGCAACAUUGCAAAGACGCAGGCCGCAAAGCCGUGAAGGUGAAAGAUGCAAAGCCGCUAGAUCGCGGCACCACAAAAUCAGGAGCUACGAAGCCACAGAGAUGCGUUGCUGGGGGCGCGCGAUAGCCAAGUACAUAGAUUUUGAGGUCGGGCUACCGAGAGCUAGACUGUCUCCAUCACUGAAAAAGAGCCUGCCUGGAUUUCGUUCUCAAGGCAGCAAGACUCCACAACUCCAGACAAGCUCGGUCGCUACUGAUGGUACAAUAUACCGAGGGUGGCCCGUCCACCGGGAAGCUCGAGACUUGGCUGGCUUCAGGGCCCAAGAGGCCUAGCGGCAUCCUUACCUAGCGAUCGGUCCAGGGGUCUAGGCUUGGAGAUAAAAUUUAUCCUUGGCGUGCAAGCCAAGAAGCUCUCACAGUGAGGUCAGUUAGGAUCCCCAUCAACCCUAGCUCUCAUCCCCUUUAUAAGGCGAGGCUAGGGGUAGUUUGAGGCAUCUGUUCCAUUGCUCAGACCUUGGCAGCAUUCAUCAUCCUCCACUUGUAACCCCCUCGCACGAGGUGCUCCCACAUCAAUCCAAAACAAAGCAGGAGUAGGGUAUUACCUCGAUCAUGAGGCCCCGAACCUGGGUAAAACUCCCGUGCGAAUUCCCUUUACUUCCCACUACGGUCUGCACCCUAACUGGGUCACUGACGGUUUUCUGCACCAUCACUGGUACUCUGGUAGUGAGUUGGAAUCUGUUUAAAUCAUUUGGUUUGCGAUAUAUCUCUCUAGGUUCAGUCCAUUAUAUGUACCCUUGAUCCCCGUGUUGGUCUUCUGCGCCUGUCGGUUGCACGAUAUAUUUAGGAGGUUUGGUCCCAUGGGCAAACCUUUGCUCUUUAACUAAGUCAGGUCAGUGCCUUUUCGGUGGUUUGUUCGAUUCAUUUGUGUUGGCCUCCAUGCGUUGGUUGCAGGACUGAAUCUGGUAUGUGGAGAUCAUGUCGAAGGGGUUUUGAAGAAGGUCUGAUUUGAGUUCAUGAGUUCCAUCAUUCAUCAUUUAAUAGGAGGUGGAUUCAGUGUCCUGAUUGAUUCUUAUUGUAGCAGUUGAUCUUGCUUUUGGUAUGUGUGUAUGUUCUUCUUUAGUUACAGUCAAAGAUGAAUCAAAGGCUGGAGAGGUUUGGUUUCUGUUCAUGGCUGAUUUGAUUCGUUACGGUCAACUGUUAUUUUCAUUUGGUCAGAUCUUCUCGAAUGUGGUGUUCAACUACUCAUCAACCUAGAACUUCGUGAUUGUUUGGAUGAUAUAAUCCUUCUCAAUUCAGCUUCUUCAUUUGCACAGUACUCCCUCUGUAAACUAAUAUAAGAGCGUUUAUCCUUAAAAAAAAGAGCGUUUAGAAUACUAAAGUAGUGAUCUAAAUGCUCUUAUAUUGUUUACAGAGGGAGUACAAUUUAGUCCCUGAUUAUUCUUACUUGGAUUGUUGGUGGUUCUCCAGAAAUUGGGAUUAUAUUAUUUGCUGCAUGGCCAUCAUCUUUUUGGUUCGGUUUUGGUGUGGACCAGUUGGUUAUUGGGUGAACAAAUUUCACAAGUAAGGAGUAACAUUUUUCACUCAACCUUGAUAUGAGAAGUGUUAGUUUCAUACUACUGUCCUAUUUGGUUUAGAUAAUUCAGUUCCUCUAUUUGGUGCCAGUUGCCUUCAGUAAAAAAAAUUGUGUUCAAUGCUAGCAAAUAUUAUGCAAUUUAACUAAAAAAAUCAGUUGAUUAAUCUCUUUUCAACCUUAACAUAGAAGAUUGUGAUAUUUUUUUGAUUAAACCUGUGAAGAAAAUUCAGGUUCGUACAAAUUUUUGUGUAGAUACUCUUUGCUGCUUGACCAUGAUCUUUUUUGUUUGGUUUUGGUGUACACUAGUUGGUUAUUGUGGGGACAAAUUUUAUAAAUAACAUUUUACACUCAAACUCGAUUCAGAUAGUUCAGUACCUCUACUUGGUGCAAUUGGACACCAGUACCUUUUUGUGUGUGUUCAAAGCUAGUUAAAACUAUGGAACUUAAAUAUACGAAUCAGUUGAUUAUUCUCUUUCGAACCUUACCUGAGAAAAUUGUGAUUUCUGUUUGGUUUAGCCUGUGAACAAAAUUCAGGUUCCUACAAUUUUAAAUUAAUCUAGUUUCUGGAUGUGAGCUGUAUUGUUUUCAGGUUUUGUACAUGACUUGUAUUAUUGGUCUUGUUAUUUUUUAUGUUGGAAAGGUCUGAUAUUUAGAUUGUUGAUCUGCUUCCUACAGAUCUCUUUGUCACGAAAUGUACUGGUGGUCUUUAAUCUGUUUUGCACAAUGCACAGAUGUUGGUGUCUUACUUUAGUGGAGUGCUAAUCUGAUCAUGCUUGGAAAAGGGAUAUCAUGAUAGGUUUUGUUAGCCUGGGGCUUGUCUGAAACUGUUGUAGUCCUGUAAAUACAAAAGUAAAAAGUGUUGAAUGGGAACAGUAGUAGGUGUCAUUGUCAUCUGGAUUUAUCAGUCUGUAGUGUACACCUGGUAAAAGAUGGUCUGAACUCUGAAGCUAGUAGAAACUACUGGUUCCACAUUUCUUUUCUUGAUUCAGAUAAUUCAGUUCAUUCAUUUCGUAACAUUUUGCCGCUAGUACAAACUACUGAACGUACGCCAUCGCUGCCACGCCCGUGCCGCCCCGCCUCCUCCGACUCCGGCGGCAGGUCGGCGGCAACCGGCGAAGGUCUGACCACGACAGGAACAAAGAUGGAAACUGCACAAUCUCAGAAUAUUAGGUUUUUAAAUGGACGAAAUGGAAUACUUUUUGGAUGGAUAUAGCAUGGCCUACCUGAGAAGGAAGUCUUCAUGUGCGACAGAAAAAGCUGCUUUGUUUGUGCCUUUUGGUUUUGUGGGCUCUUUUGCUGUUGCAGGGACAGAGGCACUAAGCAUCUUACUUUAAAAAUAUAUCUUGUUUGUGCAGUUGCAGGGUUUCGUCCUUCAGUUUUUAACUAUCUGAACUUAGUGCGGAUUUUUGGUCAAAUGACACCCGUAUGACAUAGAUAAUGGCUUCAUUGGAAAAACAUUGUAACCCUGUAUAUGAUUUAUUUUAUAUCCUGCAUGUUCUAAUAUUGACAGUUAUGAGUCGGUGCAGAUUAGUUCAUAAGACGCAGUAUGGAUUAGUGUUAUCUUGAAAGAAUGUGAAAUUGUUAUGCUUUGUACUGCAGGCCAUAGUUGCUGCUCCUUCGAAAAUAACCUUAAUGCUCAAUCGAAGUCCUUCAAGUUAUUGGUUGCCAAUCUGUAAUGUUAAAGAUAAUAAAUAAAAGUUUGGCAUGCUAUUAGAGCUUCAUCCACUUGAAAAAACAUCUGAAACAGAGUCUGUCAAAUAGUAUAGCACCUGUCGAAGGCUAGUUGUGCGCAAGGCAUUUUGCUUUUGUGAGAUUACAUGGGUUAGAAUCUGGCACAUACAGCUUGCCCUUCUGUUCUUCUUGCAUCAACUAGCAGCUCUUGCAACAUCACACAUUUUGAUCACUGUUUGACGUCUAAUUUUACUCCUUCUAUGUUUCGAAAGAAAUCACGGUUCAAUUAGUUUUAGGUCAGGAAUCUAUGAAACAUUUAGACAUUAAUUUAAAGGCUGAUUACGCAAGGCGCUACUCUUUUAUAGACUGGGAGCCUUAUGCAUACCGGAGCACUGCUAACAUGUGUUUUGAUGAUGUUCAUCACUAAACAUUUGACUUUGCAGGCUUGUGGUCAGCUUCACUGGUUUCAAACAAUGGCGGAAUGCUUGGCUUCGAUAUUUGGUACAGAGAAAGACAAGGUCAACUGUCCAUUUUACUUCAAGAUUGGAGCUUUUCUUCAUAGCGAUCACUGUUCUCGCAUCCAUAACAGGCCAACCAUGAACAUGUAUCAGCGCCCUGAUAUGAACCCUGGUCACAUGAUCCUUGGAAAUUAAGCAUCUCUCCCGUGGUGCAGCACCAACUCAGGACUGAGGCUUCUGAUUUUGUUGGCUUACUUGCUAUCUGACAUGGUCGCAGUCUACGCUCUUGGCCAGCUUUCACUGCAUAAAAGUGCUGUGCCUGGAGCUGGAGAAAUGCACAGGUUUUCGUUUUUCUGGAUGCCUUUCCUCCUCAUUCAUCUUGGUGGGCAAGAUACUACCAUCACUGCUUUCUCCAUUGAGGACAAUGAGUUAUGGCUGAGGCACAUGCUCAAUGUACUCACCCAAAUUGGCUUGGCCUUGUACGUGUUUUGGAAGUCAUCGGCACACAUCCAGUUUCUGAUCCCAGCCAUGUUUUUCUUCGUGGCUGGAAUCGUCAAGUAUGUGGAGCGGACAUGAGCUCUGAAGUGCGCAAGCCGAAAUGCCCUUAGGGGUGAUGAUUCUACUUAAUGUGAAAACAAGUCAGUUUCCUGAUCUAGAAGGCAAGCUGAAAUUGGACUAUGUGACAGUUGUGAAGUAUGCUUUAUCUAGCGCACCAGGUGUCAGAAAUCUAUUUGUUGGUCGCAUGCUUGCUAAAAUGGAAGGUCUCGCUAUACCAUGUUGGUUGAUCAAAUUCAAAGGCUUUUGAGGGAAGGGAGGAUGUUCAAGCUAUCUCAUGUUCGUAGGGAACAGAAUGGUGCAAGCCAUUAUCUGGCCUCCUUUGGACGGACAGAAGGUCGCACUGUGGUGUGGUUGGGUUCGGGACCAGGAGACGUCCCUGAUAUUUGUAAGAAUGACUUAUGUCCUGAUUGAUGAAAUAAAAUCUUCCUUUCACCCGCAAAAAAAAAAAAGGAAGGUAACAUACAGAGAACAUUUUACUGCUGAUACUGUUUUUCAAAUACCAGCAGGGCAGCAGAUGGGCAGCAUAUAUUCAAAAUUCUGGAGAUUGAGCUAGGGAUGAUGUAUGACAAUCUGUACACCAAGGCAACUAGGCAAGGGUGGUUUGAACAUGGCUUGGGGCUGUACCCCGUUGUCUCACUCACAUUUCACUGGUAGUUGCUUUUGUGCUCUUCCUUGUGGCCUUGUGGGUAACAAGUAAGGUUUUACAGUGGAGUUAUUGUUGCAAUAACCUAUGCAUUGUUCAUUGGAGUGUUCUGCAUUCAAGUUUGUGCCGACUUCUUGAUGGUGAUGAUGUCUCCAUGUACAUGGGCAUUCUUGGAAUCCUGUAAGUGCCGGAGAGUUGCCCGUGUGGCUUGGUCUGUUUUCAUGAGCCUACAGCCAGAGUCAAGGCCGUGGUGGUCAAAUUCCAUGGGGCAAUACAGUUUUCUCAAUUCCUGUUUCUCUGAGUCUAUCAUGGGGAAAAUGAUGAAUCCGGUAGGAGCCAAGGAGAUCUGGCGCAACUUCUGGCAUACCAAGAACGUUCAGAUCACAGCAGAGAUCAAGAAUGUCAUCUUUGAAACUAAGCAUCAUCCUGGGUUACUUAGCGGUGGUACAAGCCCGUCACCAGGCCUUGGUCCAGCAUUGGACACAAUCCCUCGGGGACUAGCCGCAACAUCACGGAGAAGAGGCGUCAGCUUAUGGAUACACGCAGGGGGAAUAUCUGAAUACAUGAUUUACCAUGGACAUCAGCAACAUAGGCGAUGUACUGAAGGAAGCUUCGGAGAGUGUGGCCAACGCUAGUGCUAUUGGUUGCACAAAGAUAACUACCACGGUGCAUUCGAUCAAUUUUCAAGAAGCUGUUCAGAGAAGAUAUAUCCUUAAAGGCCCAUACCAACUCUGUCACCGUUAUUUUCUGGUAGGGGAAUGCCAAUUGAAAAACGCUUAGUCAGCAUUAGUUGAUACUGUUGGUGCAAUCGGAUUGAAUGUAGUUUUUAAAAGGAUGGCACAUAUUUGCUUUGUCUGUUAUUUGUUUAAAAAGAAGGGGAGAAUUGUGAGGGCUGGAAGUUCUGCUAGAGGAUAUCAAAUGAAAUAGAUUUGACUUCUUUGAAAGUCAUGUGGGCGGUAUAGCAAAUUUUCAUAAUCGGGCUCAAGAGAAAUGCAACUAGUUUGUUAAACUCAGAACAUCAAUCCUCAGCUUGUUUAAGCGACCUAAUCAGAUCAAACUCCUUGGAGUCCCACAAAGCCACAAUAAGUCAUAAACAUAAGAAGAAAA